rnacentral:rRNA from 1 species
UACGUAGGGUGCGAGCGUUAAUCGGAAUUACUGGGCGUAAAGCGUGCGCAGGCGGUGCACCAAGCUCGAUGUGAAAGCCCCGGGCUUAACCUGGGAAUUGCAUUGAGGACUGGUGUGCUCGAGUGCGGCAGAGGGGGGUGGAAUUCCACGUGUAGCAGUGAAAUGCGUAGAGAUGUGGAGGAACACCGAUGGCGAAGGCAGCCCCCUGGGCUAACACUGACGCUCAUGCACGAAAGCGUGGGGAGCAAACAGG